CAGUCGCCGCGGUAACACGUAGGUGGCAAGCGUUGUCCGGAAUUAUUGGGCGUAAAGCGCGCGCAGGCGGAUCAGUUAGUCUGUCUUAAAAGUUCGGGGCUUAACCCCGUGAGGGGAUGGAAACUGCUGAUCUAGAGUAUCGGAGAGGAAAGUGGAAUUCCUAGUGUAGCGGUGAAAUGCGUAGAUAUUAGGAAGAACACCAGUGGCGAAGGCGACUUUCUGGACGAAAACUGACGCUGAGGCGCGAAAGCCAGGGGAGCGAACGGGAUUAGAUACCCCGGUAGUCCCUGUCUCUUAUACA
rnacentral:rRNA from 1 species